GGGAACAAAUGUAAAAUAAAGAUAUCCUGUACCAUGUAAGAAUAAAAAGAAAGUAAAUGAGUGUGAAUGCAAUAUCUAUCUGAUAAGGCAGCGCGUGUGUGUGUGUGUGUGUACACACUAUACCUGGUUGUUAGAGAUGGACACUCGUAGAGGAGACAGCUUCCUCUGUUUGCUGUCGUUGUUCGGUUUACUCUUGGGUCCUUCACAGUCCAGGGUGAGGUUCUGGUUCUGUCCGGCCUCGUCCCGAAUCGCCGGCUCUUUAUCUUUCCUUCCUCUGCGCCGUGUAGCAGAACCCAGGUUCUCCGUUGGCUCCAGGUUGUGUUUGAGAACAGGACAUUCCUGAUUCCCUCUUACACAUGCACAGUCCACCUUAUAUUUACUACACACACAGACAGAGAGAUGAGUGUCAAAGAGGGUGUACAUGGUUAUUCUAUACUUUUUUGAGAAGGUGAAUGUUGCUGAUUUUUGAAGGUGAAAUGUUGGGGUCUGAAGGGGAAUGUUGAAGGGGAAUGUUGGGGUCUGAAGGGGAAUGUUGAAGGGGAAUGUUGGGGUCUGAAGGGGAAUGUUAAAGGCGAAUGUUGGCGUCUGAAGGGGAAUGAUGAAGGGGAAUGUUGGGGUCUGAAGGGGAACGUUGAAGGCAAACGUUGGGGUCUGAAGGGGAAUGUUGAAGGUGAAUGUUGUGGUCUGAAGGGGAAUGUUGAAGGGGAAUGUUGGGGUCUGAAGGGGAUUGUUGAAGGCGAAUGUUGGGGUCUGAAGGGGAUUGUUGAAGGCGAAUGUUGGGGUCUGAAUGCGAAUGUUGAAGGUGAAUGUUGGGGUCUGAAGGGGAAUGUUGAAGGUGAAUGUUGGGGUCUGAAGGGGAUUGUUGAAGGCGAAUGUUGGGGUCUGAAGGGGAAUGUUGAAGGUGAAUGUUGGGGUCUGAAGGGGAAUGUUGAAGGUGAAUGUUGGGGUCUGAAGGGGAAUGUUGAAGGUGAAUGUUGGGGUCUGAAGGGGAAUGUUGAAGGCGAAUGUUGGGGUCAGAAGGGGAAUGUUGGGGUCUGAAGGGGAAUGUUGAAGGUGAAUGUUGGGGUCUGAAGGCGAAUGUUGAAGGUGAAUGUUGGGGUCUGAAGGCGAAUGUUGAAGGCGAAUGUUGGGGUCUGAAGGGGAAUGUUGAAGGCGAAUGUUGGGGUCUGAAGGGGAAUGUUGGGGUCUAAAGGGGAAUGUUGAAGGCGAAUGUUGGGGUCAGAAGGGGAAUGUUGGGGUCUGGAAGGGGAAUGUUGAAGGUGAAUGUUGGGGUCUGACGGCGAACUUUGGGGUGAAUGCUGCUGUUCGAUGAUGUACAAAAUGCACUCAACUUUAAGAAUGUGUGUGUGUGUGUGUGUACUCACCAGUUGCUGUAGUCGUAGUCGAACCCGAUGGUGAUCUCACUGCCUUUGAUUAUCGACCUUAGCGAGUAGAUGUAUAAGUGCAACAUGCCAUCCUCGAUCACAUGACGCACCUGAGGCAGGAACAGGAGAUAAUGAUUGCACGCUGGAUUCAGGUCGCAGUUAUUGUAUAACAUGGUGUGGUGCUGUUGGUGAUCGCUCACCUCUGCGUUGGGUGUGCAGGAUCGGCGAAUAAACCGCGCUUCGUUUCCAAAGCUGCGCGCAUCCACACACAUCUCCAAACCGUCAAACUUUGAGUAAAACAAUACGAACGGGUACGGCCUGCGGGGACACGCCACGACACAACACCUCAACACACUUCCUGUCCACCUAUUUAUGGUAAUUUAUGGUAAAAUAAACAGACAGUUAUGGAGCUCUUUACCUCUUAAAGAAGUAGCCGUUAGCCUCAAACUGCUGGCGGAGCAUGAACUUCCCCCUGUACUCGAUCAGCAGAGCGUCUGCUGCUAAAUCCCUCACCGCCUUCAGGAUACGCUUAUUCUUCUGCACCUGACUCUGAAACACCCCCAAACAAUCAACAUACACACUCCUACAGUGAAGCUGUGUGUGUACCUCUACAGGUGGUCUGAAGGCAGUGGAGGUGUGUGUGUACCUCUACAGGUGGUUUGAAGGCAGCGGGGUGUGUGUUGUACGCGAGUGUUUUGCCGUCCCGAGCCUCUUUGACACGCAGCAGCACUCGCACGUCAUCGCUGUAUUGAUUGGUGCUCGCCUCCUCGUAGCGCUCCAUCCACGUCUUCACCUUACUCUCCCACAGAGACGGAGAGUCCAUGGGCUCACACUCCGGAGCUGAGCCCUGACACACACACACACACACACACACACACAUUAACAUACACUAUCAAACUGCAAACCAUUACUACACACACAGCAAAUACAUCAGGAACACAAACACACACACGCACACAAACGAUCCGCAUACGCAUACGCAUACACACGCUCAUACGCAUACACAAGCACUCACACACAAAGACACACACGUACACACUCACGCAUACACACGCAGUGUUUAGUGCAGUACAGUCAUGUGACACACCUUGACUCUGUUGGAUUUCCUGGAGCCUUCUCUAAACGCCUGAACAAUGGAGAUAUGAAGACAGUAAGAUACAACACAUCUCACUCCAGCAACUCUGUGUGUGUGUGUGUGUGUGUGUGUGUGUGUGUGUGUGAGUGAGAGUGUGUGGACCUUCUUGGCGCGGGCGGGCGGGGCCGGCUCCUUCUCUCCGCUCUUCUUGCGUUUUUUGUCGUUCUGCUUGUUGCCGAGGCGGCCGGUGGUGAGCGUGAUGCUGCUCGGCGUGUGUUGGAAGGUGGUGUAGAGCUCCAGAGGAACUUCAUCACCACUCUCUGUAGCACUGGUGUCUCCAUCUGAAACACAUACACACACACUCUUUAAUCAUGGUUCUCAACAUAGCUCCAGUACUUCGAUUUUCAAAACAGCGCAAAAGAAAAUAAAAAGUUUUUUCUGCAAUAUUGAGUGUUUAAUGUAAAAUACUGAGUGUUUAAUGUAAAAUGUAAAAUAUU
ensembl:lncRNA